rnacentral:snoRNA from 10 species
UUGAAGUGAUGAUUAUCCAAUAGACAAGCAUAUGGCUGAUUUAUAUUGAUGCCAACUUUUAAUCUGACCAA